GGUCGUGCGGGUGCUAAUACAUGCAAGUCGAGCGAACUGAUUAGAAGCUUGCUUCUAUGACGUUAGCGGCGGACGGGUGAGUAACACGUGGGCAACCUGCCUGUAAGACUGGGAUAACUUCGGGAAACCGAAGCUAAUACCGGAUAGGAUCUUCUCCUUCAUGGGAGAUGAUUGAAAGAUGGUUUCGGCUAUCACUUACAGAUGGGCCCGCGGUGCAUUAGCUAGUUGGUGAGGUAACGGCUCACCAAGGCAACGAUGCAUAGCCGACCUGAGAGGGUGAUCGGCCACACUGGGACUGAGACACGGCCCAGACUCCUACGGGAGGCAGCAGUAGGGAAUCUUCCGCAAUGGACGAAAGUCUGACGGAGCAACGCCGCGUGAGUGAUGAAGGCUUUCGGGUCGUAAAACUCUGUUGUUAGGGAAGAACAAGUACGAGAGUAACUGCUCGUACCUUGACGGUACCUAACCAGAAAGCCACGGCUAACUACGUGCCAGCAGCCGCGGUAAUACGUAGGUGGCAAGCGUUAUCCGGAAUUAUUGGGCGUAAAGCGCGCGCAGGCGGUUUCUUAAGUCUGAUGUGAAAGCCCACGGCUCAACCGUGGAGGGUCAUUGGAAACUGGGGAACUUGAGUGCAGAAGAGAAAAGCGGAAUUCCACGUGUAGCGGUGAAAUGCGUAGAGAUGUGGAGGAACACCAGUGGCGAAGGCGGCUUUUUGGUCUGUAACUGACGCUGAGGCGCGAAAGCGUGGGGAGCAAACAGGAUUAGAUAC
rnacentral:rRNA from 2 species